rnacentral:rRNA from 1 species
UACGUAGGGUGCAAGCGUUUGUCCGGAAUUAUUGGGCGUAAAGAGCUCGUAGGCGGUUUGUCGCGUCUGCUGUGAAAACGCGAGGCUCAACCUCGCGCCUGCAGUGGGUACGGGCAGACUAGAGUGCGGUAGGGGAGAUUGGAAUCCUGGUGUAGCGGUGAAUGCGCAGAUAUCAGGAGGAACACCGAUGGCGAAGGCAGAUCUCUGGGCCGUAACUGACGCUGAGGAGCGAAAGCGUGGGGAGCGAACGG